rnacentral:sRNA from 1 species
UUUUAGCCCAGAUGGAAACGGAAACCCCGAAGCUAUUGCAGUUUAUUUUUUCUUGGGGUAAAAGAGCGACUGGAAGAAGCUCCUUUUAUGCCUUAGAAAAAUAACUGGAAUAGCGAGGAGUUGCAGUGUACAGCUGGAUUAGCU